rnacentral:rRNA from 1 species
UGGGGAAUAUUGCACAAUGGGCGCAAGCCUGAUGCAGCGACGCCGCGUGCGGGAUGGAGGGCCUUCGGGUUGUAAACCGCUUUGUUCAAGGGCAAGGCACGGUC